AUUGAACGCUGGCGGCAGGCUUAACACAUGCAAGUCGAACGAGUGGCGGACGGGUGAGUAAUGCUUGGGAAUCUAGCUUAUGGAGGGGGAUAACUACGGGAAACUGUAGCUAAUACCGCGUACCAUAGGAUGAGCCCAAGUGGGAUUAGGUAGUUGGUGAGGUAAAGGCUCACCUAGGCGACGAUCUCUAGCUGGUCUGAGAGGAUGAUCAGCCCAACUGGGACUUGGACACGGCCCCAACUCCUACGGGAGGGCGGAGUGGGGAAUAUUGGACAAUGGGCGCAAGCCUUGUUCAGCCAGGCCGCGUGUAAGGAAAAGGCCUUAGGGUUGUAAAGUACUUUCAGCGGGGAGGCGUUACCCGGAGAAGAAGCACCCGCUAACUCCGUGCCAGCAGCCGCGGUAAUAC
rnacentral:rRNA from 1 species